rnacentral:lncRNA from 10 species
ACGAAAGCAGGCCUCCCAAGCCAGGAGCGGCAAACUGCUGGGAUCCAUUUCCAUGCUGUGGACUCUUUGUGCUUUGCUCUUUGCAGUAAAUCUUGCUGCUGCUCACUUUUUGGGUCUGCACCACCUUUAUGAGCUGUAACACUCACCGCGAAGGUCUGCAGCUUUACACCUGAAGCCAGGGAGACCACGAACUCAUCAGGAGGAACGAACAACUCCAGACGCGCGGCCUUUAAGAGCUGUAACACUCAACGCGAAGGUCUGCAGCUUCACUCUUGAAGUCAGCGAAACCGCAAACCCACCAGAAGGAAGAAACUCCGGACACAUCUGAACACCUGAAGGAACAAACCCCGGACACACCAUCUCUAAGAACUGUAACACUCACCGCCAGGGUCCGCGGCUUCAUUCUUGAAUCAGUGAGACCAAGAACCCACCAAUUCCAGACACAGAAGUUACUGAACCCCAACAUUUUGGUUUGGAGUACUCUCUUCAGAAGUGUUCAAGGUUCAAAUUGAGGUCUUCUGUUGUCAUGGAAUAACUUUCUCAACAAUGUAUUAAACACGGUAUCAUCCUGAGCCCCCUGCCAAUUCUGCAUCAGUUGACGUGUGAGGCCCUGUAUCAGAAAAGAUGAUCCUCAAUCAAUCACUUAAAGGCCUGAAUAGAACCAAAAGUCUGACCUGCCCAUGAGUAACAGAGAGCUCCUUCUGCCUGAUUGCUUCAGCUGAGAUAUCGGCCUUUCCCUGCCUUUGGAAUUGAACUGCAACACUGGCUCUUCUUGGGCCUCAAGACUGCCAGCUUUUGAACUGUAACCACACUAUCAUCUCUCCUGGUUCUCAGGCCUUUGGACUCAAAUCAGAAGCAUACCAGGGGCUCUCCUACAUCUCCAACUUGCUAACUGUGAUCUUGAGACUUCUUAGCCUCCAUAAUCACAUGAGUCAAUUGUUGGUUCUGCUUCUCUGGAGAACCCUAAUCCAUCACUCUACAUCUUUGUUCCAUUAUACAUAUUGCUUCCCAGCAUAUUAAAUAAUUUAUCGAUUAUAUUUUUGGUUUAUUAUUUAUUUCUCCUACUGGAAUGUAAGUUUCACAGAGCUCUUGUUCAUUGCUAGAUCUCAAGCCUGGCAUCUAGUAGGUAUUCAGCAAAUAGCUGUUGAAAGAUGAAAAAAUAAAUCUAAUCUGCCAAGUGGAGGUAGGUACUGCGAAGAAGAAUAAAACCAAAUAAAGGAACUUGAGGGGAACAACAGCACUUCUUUUUAUAGAAGGUAGUUAGGUCCUGGUGGGACAAUGGACAUUACUACUGGGAUAUAAUGUUUAUCUUCCAAACUAGGCUAUCUUUCUUAAUCCUGAGAUCCUUGCAGAUUCACAUGGAGUUAUAAGAAAUAAUACAGAGAAAUCUCAUGUAUCCUCUACCCAGUUUCCUUGAAUAGUACCA